ACACGACUACAUUAGAUACCCCCCGUUAGUCCAGGGUGUAAACGCUGCGGCUGUGUGGGGUCCUUAGUGGGCGCCCAGUGCCGGAGAGAAGUUGUUAAGCCUGCUGCUUGGGGAGUAUGUCCGCAAGGAGUGAAAACUUAAAGGAAUUGGCGGGGGAGCACCGCAACGGGAGGAGCGUGCGGUUCAAUUGGAUUCAACGCCGAAAAACUCACCAGGAGCGACGGAUAUAUGAAGGUCAAGCUGAUGACUUUACCUGAUUUUCCG
rnacentral:rRNA from 1 species